rnacentral:rRNA from 1 species
GACGAACCGUGCAAACGUUGUUCGGAAUCACUGGGCUUAAAGGGCGCGUAGGCGGCUUGCCAAGUCAGGGGUGAAAUCUUUCGGCUCAACCGGAAAAGUGCCUUUGAUACUGGCGAGCUUGAGCGAGGUAGGGGCAUGUGGAACUUCCAGUGGAGCGGUGAAAUGCGUUGAUAUCGGAAGGAACGCCGGUGGCGAAAGCGACGUGCUGGACCUCUUCUGACGCUGAGGCGCGAAAGCUAGGGGAGCGAACGGG